GACAGAGGUGCCGAGCGUUAGGCGGAAUCACUGGGCUUAAAGCGUGUGUAGGCGGCUCUGUAAGUACCUUGUGAAAUCCCACGGCUCAACCGUGGAACUGCUUGGUAUACUGCGGGUCUUGAGCCACCUAGGGGCAAGUGGAACAAACGGUGGAGCGGUGAAAUGCGUAGAUAUCGUUUGGAACGCCAAUGGUGAAAACAACUUGCUGGGGGUGUGCUGACGCUGAGACACGAAAGCCAGGGGAGCAAACGGG
rnacentral:rRNA from 1 species